UAUAGACAUUUAAAGAAGUAGUAUAUAGGCAAUGUCUUAGCGAAAAAAAAAAAAAAAAAAUAGAAGGGAUUGAGUAUCCCUUUUGAAAUUUUUAUCAUCGUUUCUAGACAGUAAUAGAAAGGUUUCUACGAAGUUACAACAAAAUGUAGUGUCCACGAGCAGAGAUAUAGACAUUUGAAGAAGUAGUUUAAAGGCAUUGUCUUAGAGAAAAAAAAAAUAGUAGGGAUUGAGUAUCCCUUUUAAAAUUUUUAUCAUCGUUUCUAGACAGUAACAGAAAGGUUUCUGCGAAGUUACAACAAAAUGUAGUGUCCACGAGCAGAGAUAUAGACAUUUGAAGAAGUAGUAUAUAGGCAAUGUCUUAGCGAAAAAAAAAAAAAAAAAAAUAGAAGGGAUUGAGUAUCCCUUUUGAAAUUUUUAUCAUCGUUUCUAGACAGUAAUAGAAAGGUUUCUACGAAGUUACAACAAAAUGUAGUGUCCACGAGCAGAGAUAUAGACAUUUGAAGAAGUAGUUUAAAGGCAUUGUCUUAGAGAAAAAAAAAAUAGUAGGGAUUGAGUAUCCCUUUUAAAAUUUUUAUCAUCGUUUCUAGACAGUAACAGAAAGGUUUCUGCGAAGUUACAACAAAAUGUAGUGUCCACGAGCAGAGAUAUAGACAUUUGAAGAAGUAGUAUAUAGGCAUUGUCUUAGAGAAAAAAAAAAUAAAAAAAAAUAGAAGGGAUUGAGUAUCCCUUUUGAAAUUUUUAUCAUCGUUUUUAGACAGUAAUAUAAAGGUUUCUACGAAGUUACAACAAAAUGUAGUGUCCACGAGCAGAGAUAUAGAUAUUUAAAGAAGUAGUAUAUAGGCAUUGUUUUAGAGAAAAAAAAAAUAAAAAAAAAAUAGAAGGGAUUGAGUAUCCCUUUUGAAAUUUUUAUCAUCGUUUCUAGACAGGAAUAGAAAGGUUUCUACGAAGUUACAACAAAAUGUAGUGUCCACGAGCAGAGAUAUAGACAUUUAAAGAAGUAGUAUAUAGGCAUUGUCUUAGCGAAAAAAAAAAAAAAAUAAAAAAAAUAGAAGGGAUUGAGUAUCCCUUUUGAAAUUUUUAGCAUCGUUUCUAGACAGUAAUAGAAAGGUUUCUACGAAGUUACAACAAAAUGUAGUGUCCACGAGCAGAGAUAUAGACAUUUGAAGAAAUGGUACAUAGGCGUUGUCUUAGAGAAAAAAAAAUAUAAAAAAAAUAGAAGGGAUUGAGUAUCCCUUUUGAAAUUUUUAUCAUCGUUUCUAGACAGGAAUAGAAAGGUUUCUACGAAGUUACAACAAAAUGUAGUGUCCACGAGCAGAGAUAUAGACAUUUAAAGAAGUAGUAUAUAGGCAAUGUCUUAGCGAAAAAAAAAAAAAAAAAAAUAGAAGGGAUUGAGUAUCCCUUUUGAAAUUUUUAUCAUCGUUUCUAGACAGUAAUAGAAAGGUUUCUACGAAGUUACAACAAAAUGUAGUGUCCACGAGCAGAGAUAUAGACAUUUGAAGAAGUAGUUUAAAGGCAUUGUCUUAGAGAAAAAAAAAAAAAUAGUAGGGAUUGAGUAUCCCUUUUAAAAUUUUUAUCAUCGUUUCUAGACAGUAACAGAAAGGUUUCUGCGAAGUUACAACAAAAUGUAGUGUCCACGAGCAGAGAUAUAGACAUUUGAAGAAGUAGUAUAUAGGCAUUGUCUUAGAGAAAAAAAAAUAAAAAAAAAUAGAAGGGAUUGAGUAUCCCUUUUGAAAUUUUUAUCAUCGUUUUUAGACAGUAAUAUAAAGGUUUCUACGAAGUUACAACAAAAUGUAGUGUCCACGAGCAGAGAUAUAGACAUUUGAAGAAGUAGUGUAUAGGCAUUGUCUUAGAGAAAAAAAAAUAAAAAAAAAUAGAAGGGAUUGAGUAUCCCUUUUGAAAUUUUUAUCAUCGUUUCUAGAUAGUAAUAUAAAGGUUUCUACGAAGUUACAACAAAAUGUAGUGUCCACGAGCAGAGAUAUAGACAUUUGAAGAAGUAGUAUAUAGGCAUUGUCUUAGAAAAAAAAAAAUAAAAAAAAAAUAGAAGGGAUUGAGUAUCCCUUUUGAAAUUUUUAUCAUCGUUUCUAGAUAGUAAUAUAAAGGUUUCUACGAAGUUACAACAAAAUGUAGUGUCCACGAGCAGAGAUAUAGACAUUUGAAAAAGUAGUAUAUAGGCAUUGUCUUAGAGAAAAAAAAAUAUAGAAGGGAUUGAGUAUCCCUUUUGAAAUUUUUAUCAUCGUUUUUAGACAGUAAUAUAAAGGUUUCUACGAAGUUACAACAAAAUGUAGUGUCCACGAGCAGAGAUAUAGACAUUUGAAGAAGUAGUAUAUAGGCAUUGUCUUAGAAAAAAAAAAAUAAAAAAAAAAUAGAAGGGAUUGAGUAUCCCUUUUGAAAUUUUUAUCAUCGUUUCUAGAUAGUAAUAUAAAGGUUUCUACGAAGUUACAACAAAAUGUAGUGUCCACGAGCAGAGAUAUAGACAUUUGAAGAAGUAGUAUAUAGGCAUUGUCUUAGAAAAAAAAAAUAAAAAAAAAAUAGAAGGGAUUGAGUAUCCCUUUUGAAAUUUUUAUCAUCGUUUCUAGAUAGUAAUAUAAAGGUUUCUACGAAGUUACAACAAAAUGUAGUGUCCACGAGCAGAGAUAUAGACAUUUGAAAAAGUAGUAUAUAGGCAUUGUCUUAGAGAAAAAAAAAUAUAGAAGGGAUUGAGUAUCCCUUUUGAAAUUUUUAUCAUCGUUUUUAGACAGUAAUAUAAAGGUUUCUACGAAGUUACAACAAAAUGUAGUGUUCACGAGCAGAGAUAUAGACAUUUGAAAAAGUAGUAUAUAGGCAUUGUCUUAGAGAAAAAAAAUAAAAAAAAAAAAUAGAAGGGAUUGAGUAUCCCUUUUGAAAUUUUUAUCAUCGUUUCUACAUAGUAAUAUAAAGGUUUCUACGAAGUUACAACAAAAUGUAGUGUCCACGAGCAGAGAUAUGAUUACUUUCACAAAUACAAUAUAAUUGCCUCCUUAG
rnacentral:misc_RNA from 1 species